GAUGAAGAACGUAGUGAAAUGCGAUAAGUAAUGUGAAUUGCAGAAUUCAGUGAAUCAUCGAAUCUUUGAGCGCACAUUGCGCCCGCCAGUAUUCUGGCGGGCAUGCCUGUUCGAGCGUCAUUUCAACCCUCAGGCCCCCAGUGCCUGGUGUUGGGGAUCGGCCCAGCCUUCCUGUAAGGCCGCCGGCCCCGAAAUCUAGUGGCGGUCUCGCUGUAGUCCUCCUCUGCGUAGUAGCACAACCUCGCAGUUGGAACGCGGCGGUGGCCAUGCCGUUAAACACCCCACUUCUGAAAGUUGACCUCGGAUCAGGUAGGAAUACCCGCUGAACUUAAGCAUAUCAAUAAGCGGAGGA
rnacentral:misc_RNA from 1 species